rnacentral:rRNA from 1 species
AACGAACGCUGGCGGCAUGCCUAACACAUGCAAGUCGAACGAGACCUUCGGGUCUAGUGGCGCACGGGUGCGUAACGCGUGGGAACCUGCCCUUAGGUUCGGAAUAACUCCCCGAAAGGGGUGCUAAUACCGGAUAAUGUCUUCGGACCAAAGAUUUAUCGCCUUUGGAUGAGCCCGCGUUGGAUUAGCUAGUUGGUAGGGUAAAAGCCUACCAAGGCGACGAUCCAUAGCUGGUCUGAGAGGAUGAUCAGCCACACUGGGACUGAGACACGGCCCAGAAUCCUACGGGAGGCAGCAGUGGGGAAUAUUGGACAAUGGGCGAAAGCCUGAUCCAGCAAUGCCGCGUGAGUGAUGAAGGCCUUAGGGUUGUAAAGCUCUUUUACCCGGGAUGAUAAUGACAGUACCGGGAGAAUAAGCGCCGGCUAACUCCGUG